rnacentral:misc_RNA from 1 species
GCCAUAAGACAUCUUCAUCAUUUUCAAUCAAUGAAAAAUCAAUUGCCGGAAAAAGAGGAGAGUAUUCACUAACACUUCUCCGCUUAUCACAUGGGUGAACUCCCAAAUGUUCUCGGCAAUUUUCGACGGCUAUGAAAGGUGGACAGUUCAAACUUGAAAUUGCAGAACGACCACUCUCCCCAACAUUCUUCACCAUUAGAGGAGUCACAGACACACCAUCCGUAUAGAUAUCACCACCAAAGACCCCAACAGCAGUUUGCAUAGUCCUUAGCAGAGGAGAGGUAAUGACUAAAUCAAUCUUCUUAGUGAGCCCAGAAGCAAACACAUGUUUCCGCAAAUUAUCAACCUGGGCCCAACCAAGAGGGGUAAGGUGAGCAUCAAAGAGUUCUGGAGACAUGUAA